GAUAGAAAAAUUACAAGAUGAGUAGAUAAUUAGAGAUUGUCAAGAGAGCCCGGCUGGUGGGAAAGGGUCAAUCAUCGUUAUUGAAGAUGGUCUUGGUUAAAAAUGUGUCGGUGAGCAAUUGCAAGCCGAUAAUGGGUAACGACCAUUAUUUCGUUGAGUAUGAAGAUACUCAUGAGGCGAUUGUUGAAAGACAAUCGCGAAUAAAGGUGGUACCGCGAAGCUUUUCGUCCUUUCA
rnacentral:ncRNA from 1 species